rnacentral:rRNA from 1 species
UACGAGUGCCCCAAGCGUUAUCCGGAAUUAUUGGGCGUAAAGGGCGCGUAGGCGGUUGAGUAAGUCACCUGUGAAAUCGCCCGGCUCAACUGGGCGGGGUCAGCGGAUACGGCCGAGCUUGAGCAAGCUAGGGGGCUAAUGGAAUUCCCGGUGUAGUGGUGGAAUGCGUAGAUAUCGGGAGGAACACCAGUGGCGAAGGCGGUUGCCUGGGGCUUUGCUGACGCUGAUGCGCGAAAGCGUGGGGAGCGAGUCCGG